GCAAUGGUGGUUCAGUGGUAGAAUUCUUGCCUUCCAUGUAGGAGAGCCGGGUGCUGCUCCAUGGUCCCAGCCAGUGUA
rnacentral:tRNA from 1 species